rnacentral:rRNA from 1 species
UACGUAGGGUCCGAGCGUUGUCCGGAAUUAUUGGGCGUAAAGGGCUCAUAGGCGGUUGGUCACGUCGGGAGUGAAAACUCAGGGCUCAACCCUGAGCGUGCUUCCGAUACGGGCCGACUAGAGGUAUGCAGGGGAGAACGGAAUUCCUGGUGUAGCGGUGGAAUGCGCAGAUAUCAGGAGGAACACCGGUGGCGAAGGCGGUUCUCUGGGCAUUACCUGACGCUGAGGAGCGAAAGCAUGGGGAGCGAACAGG